rnacentral:lncRNA from 1 species
UGUCUUUUCCAAACACAACAAGCUCACCGCCACACACUGCCCUUCCUGUGACUUUGAAUCCAGAGACCACCAGGCCCAAAAGCCACCUGGAGGAUUUCUGUCUCUGUGGUGGUCAGAAGGGCUGAGAGCAGAACGCAGGCCAGAAGACGAUGUCAGAACCCCCUAGAACUGGAGUUACAGACAGUUCCUGGGGCUUGAACUCAUAUCACCAAGUUUGGAAGAGCUCCCUUAUAGGCUGAGCCACCUCUGGAUCCAACUGCAUAUAUUUAAACAGGUGUUUAUCUGCACUGGGGCCUUGGUGAGGAGUCACAGAGAGCAGCCCCUACCAUUCUGUGCCUGCAGAGCCUCCUGGCAGCCGCUGGGAACUGACAAUCCGCACCUUCCUCCUGGGCUGGCUUGAUAUGGGGUGAGGCCAGCACCCAGAUGUCCUCUCCCUGGGAAAAGCCCUGAUCUGCCCAUGUGCCUGGGUGACAAAGCCACACACAGCAGCUGCAGGAUAACAGUUACAGCUCUGCAGUCUGGGAAGGGCUGUAACUUGAGGUUUCACAACAGGUCUGAAGGACAAGAUGGAGUAUGAACCCCGAUGCCUGGACUUGAAGUUCAAAGCAGCCUCAGGGCUCCAGUCCCCCAGGGACUUGGCCAGAGGCAGCAUGUAUGCAGACAGCACGUAUACAGGUGCCCAGGACUGUCAGAGUCUUUCACAAACAUGAGCAUCUAUGUCAUUGUCAAACAGCACCGCAGUCCCUUGGUGCCUAGGAAGGAUGUCAAGCCUGGGGAUACCCAGAGUCCCUCGUGAACAGCAGUGUAGUGUAGGAACUAUCUAAGUG